rnacentral:rRNA from 1 species
CAGUAGCCACGGGAAUACGAAGGGUGCAAGCGUUACUCGGAAUUACUGGGCGUAAAGCGUGCGUAGGUGGUGGUUUAAGUCUGUUGUGAAAGCCCUGGGCUCAACCUGGGAAUUGCAGUGGAAACUGGAUCACUAGAGUGUGGUAGAGGAUAGUGGAAUUUCCGGUGUAGCAGUGAAAUGCGUAGAGAUCGGAAGGAACAUCUGUGGCGAAGGCGGCCAUCUGGGACAACACUGACGCUGAGGCACGAAAGCGUGGGGAGCAAACAGGAUUAGAUACCCGAGUAGUCCCUGUCUCUUAUAC